rnacentral:rRNA from 1 species
ACGGAGGGCGCGAGCGUUACCCGGAUUUACUGGGCGUAAAGGGCGUGUAGGCGGCCUGGGGCGUCCCAUGUGAAAGGCCACGGCUCAACCGUGGAGGAGCGUGGGAUACGCUCAGGCUAGAGGGUGGGAGAGGGUGGUGGAAUUCCCGGAGUAGCGGUGAAAUGCGCAGAUACCGGGAGGAACGCCGAUGGCGAAGGCAGCCACCUGGUCCACUUCUGACGCUGAGGCGCGAAAGCGUGGGGAGCAAACCGG